GGUGGGCAGUGCCCUCUGCUGGCCAAAGAUGACACUGCCAUUUCAGGGAGCAGUUGGGGUUCUGGAAAGCAUAGAGUAUCACAUUGGGGAAAGGUGUGAGGUGGAAAGGGUGGAGAAUGUAGCCAUUUUGAGUUAAAGACAUGAAAUUUGUAGUAAACAAUCCCAUCAUCAGUCUCCAUGGGUACAACAAUAGUUAUGCAAGUAGCUGAUUCCUCCAAAUUACCCAACUGAGGGAAAGGAA
rnacentral:lncRNA from 1 species